ACAGGGCCUCACUCUGUCACUCAGGCUGGAGUGAAGUGGUGCAAUCACAGUUCACUGAAACCUUGAACUCCUGGGUACAAGGAAUCCUCCUGUCUGGAACUACAGGAAGAAGAUGAUUUUUCACCUAGUGGAGUCAUUGAACAGUGGUCUUCAAAUUGGGAUUAUUUCCAAGAAUAGAUUAAAAUGCCAUGAAAAAGAAAAAAUUAUAGAAAAGCAAAAAGAGCUGAAUGCAGUGAAUGAACAUCUGUGAAUGAAGUUGAGAAGGUAUAUGUGGGGCAGACUAGAAUUGCAGUGCACAGAUACAAGAAUGUUGCCUGCUUUGGAGCCAAGACUGCCUUCCGGAUAAAGGGCCCACAGAGAGCUGAGAGCUGUGUAAUACCUCAAAGACUGAAGAAAAGAGUUAGACAGCCAUCUUUCCUUAGAGGAUUUUGCUGCAGACAGCUUGAACUACCAGAAGGUUAUAUACUGACCAUGGGUAGAGUAAGGAAGAAAUACAUCCUUCGGAAAGGACAAUGAAGAUCUUUACAGCAGGGUGAGUAAACAGGCCAGUGUAAGUCGCUAAGCAAGAAUGCCACUUGCUAGGUGGUAUACAGUUGCUCAGUGUAUCACACACACACACACACACACAAACAAAUAUUAGUUACACCUCUGAGAUGGGAUUCAUAAACAUUUAAAAGUUUACACAAUGUUUAGAUAACACUGACCAUCAAACCCUUAAUAAUUUGUUUUGCUUUGCAGUCCCACAGGUCUAUGCCCAUCUAUUCAUUUUAGCAUCUGUUUUAUGUUUCAUAAUUACCUUUUAAAAUUUCUGUCUCCCCUUUGUGCUAUGAGGUCGUUUCAGCACUUAGGUGAGAAUCUGAAAUUGUAAAGAUAGUUCAAUUACAUUUUCGUUGUUAAUAUAGGCGGGGUAAAGUAAAAGUGCUGUAUUAGCUCAGAGGAGCAAAAAACAGUAUAAUCAAAUAGAUCUGUAGAUACCAGAAUUUUAAAAUUCUUCCUUCAGGAACUUUAAUGCCAUUUAAAAAUAUUUAUUGUGGAAUAUGUUAGACUUUGAGUCAUAGUGAUUUUUACCUCCUAACAUAAAGCUAAUUUUUACUGGAUUUCUUCUGAUAAUGAUGGUUAAGUGUGCAAGAGAUGGUAUCAGUCUAUUCAGCGUAUUAUUGAGAAUCCCCUCACUCUCCUUAAAUGAAUGGCUUAAGCAGCAGAUGUUCUAUACCCUAAAAGAUGCCAUGGCACGUCUCAGGUAAGAGCUGUCCUUGGAGUUGAAUGUUAUUUAUUACUAUGUAGGUACUAGAGAUUCAGAAACUUAAUGAUUUUUUUUCCUAACAGAAACUCUUUUUUCGCACUAUGAAUAAUUUACUGUUCUUUCUUCUUUGAACUCAACUGUAGAAUUGCGCAUAGACUAAUUUUUACUUUCACUCCUUUCCCAGGUGAAAUUAAACAAAAAAUAUAGAAACUGAUCACUGAACUAAUGACUUUAGAUGAGUAUACUUUUAUGUAAAUUUUAAAAGAUUUGGUAAUUAAGAAUGAGUUUCAUUUCAACUUCAUUGUUCAUUUCCUCUUAAUUGAUACAACAAUUUAAUUCUAAACAUGAUAAAAUCACACCUUCCUGUUGCUACACCUGCAAGCUUUUUAAAGUUUGUUCAGAGUUUAGAUAGAUUAGGAAAUAAAGUGGAAAAUAACCAGGCAAAUAUUAUGUUUUAUUAAAAAAUUGCAUUUCUGGCUGUGAAAUACUGAACUUAUUUAUACAUGAAAGAAGUUAUAUCAAUAUCAAAUUGAUAUAUUCAAAUGUCUGAUCCUGUCUUAAACAGGAAAACUACUUUGAAAGCAGCAAUAUUACCAACAAUGAAGGGAAAAAAUGUGUAGAAUCAUAUUAUUUUUAAUUUAUAAAAUAUCCUUGUUGCCAGUGGCAGAGACUUUUGAUCAUGAAAAGUAAUAUUGAAUAUAUUAUUCUACAAACAUUGAAUUUAAGUGUUUUUACAAGCAUUUCCAUUGUUUCUUAAAUCACAUAUCACUGUAAGGAGGAUAUAGUAUCUCCUUGUUAAAACUAAGGCAAUGAAAACAUCAGGAGUUAAAGUAAUCAAGGAAACACAAUUAUCAAAUAAAUUGGUACUACAACCCCCCGAUUUUUCUGCCCUCUCCAUUGUACUAUAUAUACUAUAAUCUCCAUAUUUGGAAUAUUAAUUACACUUUGAAAUCUUCAAGAAAUAUAAACAAACACCAAUUCCACACUAUGUAGGUAUAAUAAAAGUAAAAUUUAUUUACAAAGUAAUAGAUUUUCAUUAAAAUCUUU
rnacentral:lncRNA from 10 species